rnacentral:rRNA from 1 species
UAAUAUAUAAAGUAAGUCCUGCCCGGUGACAUCAAGUUUAACGGCCGCGGUAUCCUAACCGUGCAAAGGUAGCAUAAUCAUUUGUCUAUUAAUUGUAGACUAGAAUGAAGGGAUAAACGAAAUAAAAACUGUCUCUGUCAAUAAUCUAAAACUUAUAAUCUAUAUGAAGAUGUAUAGAUUUAUUCGUAAGACAAGAAGACCCUAUAGAGCUUAAUUUUAAAAUAAGUGUAUUAUCUUAAAAUUCGGUUGGGGCGGCCUAGGGACUAAACUAUCACCCUAAAAAUAAAAGAUUAAUAAAUCUAAUAAGUGACCCUUAUAAAGAUCAAAAAAACAAGCUACCUUAGGGAUAACAGGCUAAUUCUAUUAUAGAGUUCUUAUCGACAAUAGGGUUUGGCACCUCGAUGUUGGCUUAGGGUAUCUAUAAAGCGCAAAAGCUAUAUAAUGAUGGUUUGUUC